GGAAAAAGGACAUCUUUCCCAGAUCCAGGGGAAAUCACUGGAUGAGAUCGAAAUUGAAGAUGAAAUUGCAUUAAGUGAUGCUGAAACAAAGGACAGUGAGAGUGAAUCAGAUGAUGAUGACACAGCACUCACAAUGUCGGCGUGUGGCACCAGUGAGCCUGUACAUGCAGUAGCUGAUUCCACAAACACAGCGCAGCUCCAAGACACUGUAGAUUGUGCAGAUGAAGAACCACUCAUAAUGCCUGCAGCAAGUGAGACUGCUGCUCCCUCUGAAGAUAAAAAUGCUGCUCAAUCCCACAAUUCCCGAAGAGCUCCCAAAAACAUGUGGUCCAAGGCUGAGGUUGCUGCAGUGAUGAGGCAUUUUAAAGACCACAUAAACGAAGGGAAACUGGCCACCAAAAAUGAAUGCAGUCAUUGCAAAUUGGUAGAAGAUCCGAUGUUGGCAGGAAGAACAGUUCAAAACAUAAGAGAUUUUGUAAGAAACAGAGGAUUAACUGCAAAAAGGCAGAAAAAAAUGAACUAAAAUAACUGUUUAGCCAGAUGUGGUUUUACAUCUUGGUCAGAUGGCCAAACUGUUGUUAAAACUGAGUUAUUGUGCAGCAGGCUGC